GCCUGGCUGGCUCAGUCAGUAGAGCAUGGGACUCUUGAUCUCAGGGUUGUGAGUUUGAGCCCCAUGUUGGGCA
rnacentral:tRNA from 1 species